AAGCUAGGGGGACCCGGCCCUUGAUUGGAAAAACUUGGAGAUUGACAAGAUCUCACGGCCAAUCAGAACCGCAACUCGCCUUAGCGCGAAGGGAUUCCCUGCCUCUUACUUGAGGGCGAUGGGUGGCUCAUAGGCCUCGGGUAGUUCGAAUCGAGGGGACGCGGGUGGUUGGUUCAGCAUCCCCGAGAUGAGAGCGGCAAGAAGAGAGGCAUUUAAUGGGAAAAAAAAGAGGGUCGAGAUGGAGUAGGUGGCAGAAACAGGGAACGAAGGACUUUCCUGAAUGACGUCUGCCACGCACUACCUCGGAGGCGACACGGGACCACGACUGCUCAAUAAUCAUUUGAUGUUCGGACUACCUGGAAUUUUUUUUGCAAAAACUCCUGUAUCUCCUGGCUCCUCUAUUACCUUUUUGGAAGAGGCCUUCAGAGCUAUCUGAGAGGAUGUCUCCUGGGUUUAAACCCUCAGUAACAGAUAGCAAGAGGAAGUACUCGUGUCCGUUGAACUUCAUAUUGAAUCCCCCUCCUUGGAAAAAGCCAUUUUGCAGCUACUUAGAACUCUGAGGCCCCGGGGCACGGCAGAGUCACCAGAUAGAGCCUGCGCACUUGAAUCGCCAAAUAAGGGGAAGCCACAAGAUAACACUGGAUGAAGACCAGCAUUUCAUGGCUCAGGACUCAGUAAAGAACCAACUGCUAAGUCCGACUAAAAUCAGAAGGAAAAAAGUUAAAAACGGGGUUUUCCCACUGGUCUAGCUGUCUUUCAAAAUGUUUCUUUUUUCUUUGUAACGUGUAAUUAAAAUUGUGUUUAUUUCCUGAACUCUUUUAAGAGGUUUGAGUGCAUUUGCUGCAUUUUUGAGAAAAGUACAGCUUGUAUCUUCACUAUCUUGCAUCAUGUGUCCAGCACCACAUUCCACAAGACAAAUAUAACCAAGGCCUCUUAGAGCUUCCAAGAGAUGAAACUGCCGGUGGCAGCUCAUUCACAUUGCUGUAACCGCCACCCUCAUGUGACAGAGCUGUCCCUUGGAUGGACAGCCCAGUUCCACACCCCCUGCCAGAGCUUUCCCACUUGAGGCAGAAAUACAGGACCUGCUAUACAUUCUUGUCUGGUGUGUGGUCACAUGCCCCGAGUCUCCAAAUCAGAAGUUAUUUAUACCAAAUGCUCAAACCAAAAGGAUUACUUAAGCCGUGAUCCUUGAGUCCUUCUCUCAUCUCCCACCUCCAGUAGUACGUACCAUUGGUCCUAUCACCAAAAUAUGUUUUACAAGUGUCCCUUUCUCUCCGUCCCCACUGCCAUCAC